AAUCAUCUGAUGAGAAAAAACCUGCAAAUUUAAUGAAAUCUUCAUGAUUUUUUUGUAUUUAAGUCUCUGAUGAUU
rfam:Beta vulgaris subsp. vulgaris chromosome 2, whole genome shotgun sequence.